GGGGGGAAGCAGACCCACGUUUAGGCCCAACUACCCGGCGCCAGCACCCCCUGCCGUCCCUAGAACCGCCAUAAGUAACCCACCACAAGGUCCAGCAGUAACGCCUCGACCCCCUGCAGUGUGUCAUUACUGUAAACAGCCAGGACAUUACAAGAACCAGUGUCCUCGCUUAAACAGAGGAAGCUGAGAAAGGCAACCACCACAACAUCCCAGGUCAGCCACCCAUUGUGUACAGCCGGAAAGCACACCUAACCAAGAAAAACAGUGGAGUGUGUUGCAUGAGGUCAAUCCAGUGCAAGCUGGGGGAGACAACCGGGACCACCACCGCCAAUGGAUUACAGUGAAUGGCGUGGGGGCGCGAGCGUGAGGGACUCUGGAGCCACUCUAACAGUAGUACAACCCCACAUGAUCGCACCGUAGCCGUAAGGGUGGCUGGGGGUGCUAUACACAAGCUACCUACAGCCAACGUACUGGUCGAUUGGGGUUCUGGGUCCAAACAGUUGGAGGUUGGCAUUAUGCAGGAACUGCCAGCUGAGGUCCUGUUGGGAAAUGACGUUGGCUGUUUAACCUCUCAACUAACCCGGGACACUACAGUGGAAGCCUACGCCGUUACCACCCGAGCCCAAGCCCGACUGGAAGCACCGCUGCACUCUGAGGACAACCAGGUAGGAGUUGACAUCCCCCCUUUGCCAGAUCCCCCUACCACCAUCUGGGAUACACCACAGGGGUUUGAACAAGAGCAGCGGACAGACCCCACUGUAGAAGGGUAUAGAAAGGCCGUAGAGAUACCUAAGGGGGAUAACCCCCACGAAAAGUUUGAAUGGUAUAAGGGAUUGUUGUACCGAGUGACUGAAGGGGUGGGACGCGGGGCCACGCAGGUCACUAAAAGACAACUGGUAAUACCCCGUAAAUUUCGAGCCGAGUUAUUAAAACUCAGUCCUGAUAUUCCCCUAGCGGGACAUCUAGGGGUCAAAAAGACGAGGGCCCGAUUGACCCAAACAUUCUUCUGGCCUAGGAUUACGCAAGAUCUGAAGUAUUAUUGUAGGACAUGUGACAUAUGUCAAAGACUAGGGAAGAGAGGUAAUCACCACAAAGCCAAACUUCACACUUUACCGAUUAUAGAAGAACCCUUCCACCGAGUAGCAGUGGACCUAAUAGGACCUCUCAGCCGACCCAGUCAGUCUGGCAAGAGAUUCUUUCUAACUGUAGUGGACUACGCCACUAGAUACCCGGAAGCGGUAGCCCUCACCAAUAUAGAGGCCGAGACCGUGGCCGAGGUCCUAGUUAAAAUAUUCUCCCGGGUAGGUUUUCCGCAGGAGAUCUUGUCCGAUUGAGGGACUCAGUUCACAGCUCUCCUUACCCAGCAACUAUGGCAGAGCUGCGGAGUGAAAGUCCUAUUCAGCGCCCCCUACCAUCCCCAGACCAAUGGACUCUGAACGGUUUAAUGUCACACUUAAACUGAUCCCGAAAACCUUUGCAGAGUCCUGCAGGAAUUGGGAAAAGUAUCUUCCCCAUCUUCUGUUUGCCUACCGCGAAGUAUCUCUCUAACCCCCCCUCCUCCAAUGGUGGUUUCUCUCUG
rnacentral:lncRNA from 1 species